CGGGGAUUAGCGCAGUUGGUAGCGCGCACGGCUGGGGGUCGUGAGGUCACGAGUUCAAGUCUCGUAUCCCCGA
rnacentral:tRNA from 5 species